rnacentral:rRNA from 1 species
CCUACGGGUGGCUGUAGUGAGGAAUAUUGGUCAAUGGCCGGAAGGCUGAACCAGCCAAGCCGCGUGAAGGACGAAGGUGCCAAGCAUUGUAAACUUCUUUUGUCAAGGGACAAACUCAGGCUCGAGAGCCUGAUCGAGGGUACUUGAAGAAAAAGCAUCGGCUAACUCCGUGCCAGCAGCCGCGGUAAUACGGAGGAUGCGUGCGUUAUCCGGAUUUAUUGGGUUUAAAGGGUGCGUAGGCGGACUCUUAAGGCAGCGGUAAAAGCCCGGGGCGAAACCGCGGCGAUCCGUGGACACUGGGUGUCUUGAGAUGUCGAGAGGUAUGCGGAAUGCGCAGUGUAGCGGUGAAAUGCUUAGAU